rnacentral:rRNA from 1 species
CCUACGGGGGGCUGCAGUGGGGAAUAUUGCACAAUGGGCGCAAGCCUGAUGCAGCCAUGCCGCGUGUAUGAAGAAGGCCUUCGGGUUGUAAAGUACUUUCAGUGGGGAGGCGUUACCCGCAGAAGAAGCACCGGCUAACUCCGUGCCAGCAGCCCGGUAAUACGGAGGGUGCAAGCGUUAAUCGGAAUUACGGGCGUAAAGCGCACGCAGGCGGUCUGUAAGUCGGAUGUGAAAUCCCCGGGCUCAACCUGGGAACUGCAUUCGAAACUGCAGGCUAGAGUCUUGUAGAGGGGGGUAGAAUUCCAGGUGUAGCGGUGAAAUGCGUAGAGAUCUGGAGGAAUACCGGUGGCGAAGGCGGCCCCCUGGACAAAACUGACGCUCAGGUGCGAAAGCGUGGGGAGCAAACAGGAUUAGAUACCCUUGUAGUC